rnacentral:tRNA from 1 species
GCCGGAUUAGCUCAGUCGGUAGCAGCGCCGCCUUUGUAACGCGGGGGGCGUCCGUUCGAAUCGGACAUCCGGCACCA